AGGAGCAGAAUGCCAGAUGCCAGCGCGAAAUUAACACUGCUCGGUCCAAUCUGCAAGCAGAUAUGAUCAAGUUUGUGGACAAACUGAUGGCGUCAAUCAGCAAGAGGUGCGUAUGUUGUGCUGCACGAGGUUUCUCGGACUGUCCAGCAAGAGCAAUCGAUACAUGUCAAGUUGACACGCUCACAACUCCGUGUGGUCCCAAAAUCCCAGGUGUCAGGCUCGAUAUGUCUGCAUGCAAAGGUUCUUGGUCACUCUUCCUUGCAAUUUCAUUACUAUCUUCCGUCCUCACAGUUUACAAUGAAUUUUUUCACUUUGCCACUCCAUUUUGCAGGUGCCAAUUCUACUUCCAAGCCUACUUCCGAUGAACGGUCGGACCGGCAACAGAACAAGAGGGUGCGCAUCGACGAAGAAGCAGUCGCGUCAAUGACGUCUCAGAUAAUACAUUUUGCAAGGCAGACUCUGCAGGCAAUAAGUGAACUGUUUAUUGACCUUCCCAACAACGGCAGUACCACUGUGUUUGGACAGAAGUCUGACAGUCUGCCAGGGAGGAAAUAUGUAUUCAAGGCUGGCUUCCAGACAGACCCAUGGAUCAGGGGUGUUGUCCCGUGCCCACCGCAGGCUUAUGUGUCCGAACAAUUGGAAUUUUUUUGCUACCGCACCGGCAACAGAGCUAUCAAGGAAUUUCCUUGUGCAUGAGAAUCCUAGAUUCUUACGGAUAACUGGAUUAGCGCUCAAACAACAGCUUGUCGAAGAUGAACUAAUCGACCAUGAGAUGAUGUCAGUCAUCAUUAGAAGGUAUUCUCAGUCUGACCAGGAAGCAGACAAACAUUCACCAUACUUAACGUGGAGGCACCCGCUUGAACCAGAAUUCUCGACUCUGGUAUUAUCCGAUCAUGAUUACAUCCAUACGCUGUCUAUCCAGAAAGCAUUAUCUGCGGCGGGACUCGAGUAUGACAUCACAUCGGCUCAACUGGUAUGACUGACUUAGCCAUCCACAGUUCGUUCAUACAUGUCUACCCAUCUGUCCACAAACGUGUCAUGUCUCCUAUGCAGUUCUUCACGCCAGUCCCACGACGUGAAGGGUGGAUCGUCAUUUUCUGGGACAUGGUAACACGCACCAUUUUUGUUGUUGAUCCCAUGUACAGCAAGAAGAGCCAACCCCUGACCACACAACACAGAGAUGAGAUUUUAGCUUGGAAACUACAUGGAGCACUGUUCAGUUGCGUAAAUGAGUACUAUGCUGGGUGGCCCGUGAGCAAAGAUCGGUGGACUAUCCAGUUCCCCGCCCUUGCUGAUAGCAUUUU